AUGCUCGCUUCGGCAGCACAUAUACUGAAAUUGGAAUGAUACAGAGAAGAUUAGCACGACCCCUGCACAGGGACAACAUGCAAAUUUGUAAAGUGUCCCAUAUUUAA
rnacentral:snRNA from 1 species